GUGUCAGCCGCCGCGGUAAUACGUAGGUGGCGAGCGUUGUCCGGAUUUAUUGGGCGUAAAGCGCGCGCAGGUGGUGCGUUAAGUCCUGUGUGAAAUCUCCCGGCUCACCCGGGAGGGGGCGCGGGAUACUGGGGCACUGGAGGCAGGCAGAGGCCGGUGGAAUUCCCGGUGUAGUGGUGAAAUGCGUAGAGAUCGGGAGGAACACCAGUGGCGAAAGCGGCCGGCUGGGCCUGUUCUGACGCUGAGGCGCGAAAGCGUGGGGAGCGAACCGGAUUAGAAACCCCCGUAGUCC
rnacentral:rRNA from 1 species